GAUGAACGCUGGCGGCGUGCUUAACACAUGCCAGUCGAACGGUGAAGGCGGAGCUUGCUCUGCUGGAUCAGUGGCGAACGGGUGAGUAACACGUGAGCAAUCUGCCCCUGACUCUGGGAUAAGCGCUGGAAACGGCGUCUAAUACUGGAUACGAGCUGCGAAGGCAUCUUCAGCAGCUGGAAAGAAUUUCGGUCAGGGAUGAGCUCGCGGCCUAUCAGCUUGUUGGUGAGGUAAUGGCUCACCAAGGCGUCGACGGGUAGCCGGCCUGAGAGGGUGACCGGCCACACGGGGACGGAGACACGGCCCAGCCCCCAACGGGGGGGAGGGGGGGGGAAUAUUGCACAAGGGGCGAAACCCUAAGGCAGAAACGCCGGGGGGGGGACGGCGGCCUUCGGGUGUAAAACCCUUUUUAGCGGGGAAGAAGCGAAAGGGGCGGUACCUGAAAAAAAAGCCCCGGCUAACUACGU
rnacentral:rRNA from 1 species